rnacentral:rRNA from 1 species
AGCGAACGCUGGCGGUAGGCCUAACACAUGCAAGUCGAACGGCAGCACAGUAAGAGCUUGCUCUUACGGGUGGCGAGUGGCGGACGGAUGAGGAAUACAACGGAAUCUACUUUUUCGUGGGGGAUAACGUAGGGAAACUUACGCUAAUACCGCAUCCGACCUACGGGUGAAAGCAGGGGAUCUUCGGACCUUGCGCGAAUGAAUGAGCCGAUGUCGGAUUGGCUAGUUGGCGGGGUAAAUGCCCACCAAGGGGACGAUCCGUAGCUGGUCUGGGUGGCUGGUCAGCCACACUGGAACUGAGACACGGACCAGACGCCUACGGGAGGCAGCAGUGUCGAAUAGUGGACAGUGGUCGCAAGCCUGGUCCAGCCAGACGGCGUCGGUGAAAGAAGCGCUGGGUGUGUGAAGCCCGUCUGUUGGGAGAGAAAAGCAUCAGGUUGAGACCCCGCGGUACUGACGGUACCCGGAGAAGAAGCACCGGCUAACUUCGUG